UGGACCUUCCUGGCAGCAGGCUUCCAUCAUGGCAGCAGCAGUUGGCUACAGAGCCUAGGAAUUCCAGUUCAGAUGUCAACUGCAUAAGCAAACUGAACUGUUCCAGGCAGCAAUCAGACAAGGCUGAAUCCUGUUAAUGCUAUUCAAGUAUCAACAGACCAAGGAGCUUUUCUUAGUCAUCAUUACAAAUACAAAAAAUUAAAGUUCAUACACAUAAACCAAAAAAGAAAGGAAGAAGGAUUCUGAACCCAAAGGUGAAUAAAUCUUACUGACACUUCAUAAUGAAGUUCUGAAUAUUCUGGUAUACUUAUGGAUCACUAACAUCAGUACAGUACUGACAAUAUCCAGGAAGAAAAAAACUAAAAAACAAAAAACUUCAAAGAGAAGAUGAAGACUGUUUUCAGAGCACAUCUAGAAGGUACAGAACCUUCAGUUUUAACACUGAAGAUUAAGCCAUAUUUUACUGUAUUCAAAAUAUUAAGAAAAUGUAUUCAUCUUAAAAUAGAUGCAACAUCAUUAAAUGGUCUUUUUUUUCUUUUAAGAAAUGCUAUCAAUCACAAAGCAUAAAAAUAUAACAUAGCUCUAAGUUACAGAUUUUGCCUCCCAAAACUUCAAACAUUCCAACACAUGCUGAUAUUUUUGUCAUAAAUCUCAGUAAUAUGGUUCAUAGGAUCCAAGCUAAAUUUUAGUUUCAAAUUGGCAAGUCUUUUGAGAGUUCUUUCCAUAAAGUCUAUGGUGAAGAAUAGAGGGGAAGCGAAUAUUUCUCAAAUUACUGUAUUCUCUUUAUUGGAAAAUGAAUAUGUUUUUAAUCUUUGUAUGUGACACAGAUAUAUGACAAAGAGGCUUGUCAAAGAUCGAUGAUAUUUUGAAAGGAAAGAGCCUUUUAGACUUAAAGAUCACCUAGUUUGAACCCCCUUGCUAUGGGGAGAGUUACACCCACAUCAGGCUGCCCAGGGCCCCAUCCAGCCUGGCCUUGAACACCUCGAGGAAUGGUAGGAAUGGGGCCUCCACAACUUUUGUGGGCAACCUGUUCCAAUGCCUCACCACCUUCUGAGUAAAAAAUUUCCACCUACUAAAUUUCCCCUCUUUUAGUUUAAAAUCAUUCAACCUUGUUCUGUCACUAUCAGAUGUAAGAAGUUGGUCUCCAUCUUGUUUAUAAACACCCUUUAAAUACUGAAAUGCCAUGAUGAGUUCUCCCCAAAGCCUUUUCUUCUUCAGGCUGAACAAGCCUAGCUCCCCUCAGCCUGUCUUCAUAAGAGAGGUUCUCCAGUUCUCCAACCUCCUCCAGACAUAUGUCUGCUGUGCUGAGGGCCCCAGAACUGGAUGCAGUAUUCCAGAUUGGGCCAAAUGAGGUCAGAGCAGCUCUCUCAGCUAAAAAAGCACUCUUAAGUUGUCAGGGAUCAAACCCAGGUCCUUCUGUUUGCGAAGCUAGCUUUCUUUCACAGAGCUACAUGCCUUGACUUUAGAAGAGAAACAAUGCUUCCUGUAGAGAACAAGAAAGUAGUUACCGCAUGUAUAUGCACAGUCAGUCUGUACUCCAUGACUUCUAUGCACAGAAAUAAACAAGCAGAUUCUGAAAUACAGUAAUUAAUUGACUGAGGGGGUAAUUUUCAGGCUCACUUUGAUGGAGCCAAUUCUGUUACGUAGGACAAGAGGCAGACUAGAUACCUUCUUGAAAUUCCUAGUACAGAUAUUUGCUCUUACUCCAGUAGAAUCUGACACAUCUAGUAUGAUGAGAGCUAUUAACAUUUUAUUCUGAGAACUAGAAGCAAAGUCUCUCUCUAUUUUUUUUUUAAGUUCCUAAUCACCUUAAAUUAUUUGUUUUAAGGUCAUGGCCAUGUGUUUCAUUCAGAAUUCAAGUACCAUCAUAACCCAGGAGAUAAUUUUCAAGCUACUGCAAUCUACCAGGUAAAAAUCACUGCAGUUAUGUAAUUUCCAAACUGCUGAAGAAAAAAAAACCCAACUGAUGCAAAAUGUUUUUGCAUUCUGUCUAACAGCAAUGUAGCUGGAGUCUGAAAAGGCUUUCUGCUUCAUGCAAGUAUUAAUGAUACUCAUUGGCAAAGCAUACAUGUCAGGCAGAUUUGACUUGAUCAUCCAAUAGGUAGUAACCCCAUCUCUUUUCACAAGAGACAAUCUUCUCUUCUGAAAGUCAAACUCCUGGAAAUUGUAGGAGGAAAGUGUCAUUUAGCUUAAAUAACAUGAUAAGGGAAAGGAAUUCCAUGGAACAAAAGAGUGAAGUCAUUUGUUUGCUGGAAAUAGUCAAAUUUAUCUUCUGCCAACCUUCCAUUUGCCUUUGGAAAAAAACAUUUGAUAACAUCAAUAAGAGCUCUCAUAUAAAAAUUAUUCAAAAAUAGGGCAAAAGAAGCACUAAAAUUGUGUAGCGAGAUCACCUGGAAAUUAAUACAACAAAAUACAUCCCAGAAAAUAUAGUAAUUAAGGGUCUUUCUGAACUUUGGAUUGCAGUUGAUGUGCACAGCCUGUCAGUACUCAAAGAACAUCACCACAAACUUAAUUUUGAUGAAAUGCAGCUGUCUCUAUUAAUUUGACUUUUGUGACAACUCAAGCAGCUAAGGAUAAGCCAAAGGGUAAUGCAGUGUGUUGAAACUGAUUUUUAUUUCAGAUAAAUCUAUGUAUUUGAGUGACUGGCACACAGACAAGCUAGGCAUGAAGAUACAGCGACAUGAAAAGUCUUCCAGUUACCACUGUUAAAAACAUGUGUCUUAGGAACUUCAUUUUGAAUACUUUACUUAUUGGAAGAGUCAAGUCACUUGAACAAGAAGUGCCUUGAGCAUUUGGAUAGAAAAUAAAAUAUAUUUGUCUCUUCAUCUCAAGCGUAACUGGCACUGAAGCUAAUUAUUUUCUUCCCUAGAUGUUUAAUACAGCAAUCAUGCUCUGCUUUUUUGGAGGUGCAGCAAUAAGAUGAAGAUCUGAAGUAUUCUUGGGUCUUGUAAACUUGUGACAGAAUUUUGAAUUUCUUUGAUAUAUUCCACUCUCUAAAAACAUUUGACUUCUAAGUUCAGUUGAAACACAGAAAAACAAGGGAGAACCAAAAAAAAAAAAAAAA